AAUUACAGGUGAAUUGACAGGUUCAGAAAAGUCCUGGUCAAAAUGUUGUGGGCCAUCUCAGAGAAGCUCUUACUGCAGGAUGCUAAAAUUGCUGUGUCAUGUGGUAUGAGUCAUGUAAUAUGUCUGUGCAUUUGAACAAUGCUUCACAAAUCAAACACUGAACAGAUGAGGGCCUAUAAUAUAAUUGCCAAGUUCUGUGAACAUGCAUUCCAUCACAAAAUGGCACAAGCUGCUCUGAUGGCUGUCAUCUCCUGCUUGAACAUGUCAGAGGCACUGUAGGUGCAGACAAAAAAGCUUAUAUAGACUGAGCUGAAUUGCUGAUGAGGUCAAGAGUAAACAUGGAGUUGGGAGGCUUUGCAUAAACUUAGCAUUUCCUUACGACUACAGGCUGCAGCUUCUGAUAUAAUUUAGAGCAGCCCAAGAGCUGAUCUGAGCCGACUGGAGCAGUAACAUAAAGCUUAUUGUGUGCCAACUCUCUACAGUCUAGGCAAAAACUCAUUGACUGUUAACAUACAAUUCUGAACUCUCCUAGCUCACCCUCUGCCUCUUCUUUCCAAUGAAAUAACCAAGCAAGACACCUGCAUAGUUUCUACUUGUAGCAGAGAAAUCUUCACUUGCUCUUUGUUUCUUUAUUCUCACCUCAUCUCCUUAAGAGUUAUUUUCUUCACCUGUUCUCUGCAAUUUCACUCACUGUGACCUUCACAAUCAUUGCAAUCGGGCAGCUUUGUAUUUUACUAGGAGUGGAAUUGCCUCGAGGUAAUAUACUUGUAACCGGUAUUUCCUUCCAGGACUGGGAUUCAUACAUUUGACUGCUUGGUUACAUGAAACCACCAGUGAUGGGUGAAGUCAGCCUGGUUUCUAAUUUUCUACUGGAUUUCAUUCAUAUUUUGAAAAGGUUUAAGAACAAUAGGUGUUAUGUUGUUUGCUGCCAGACAUACUGCCAAGUUGUAGAGGAACAACACGGAAUAUAAAAUUAGGGAGUUUCUUCAUUUACAUACAGGUACCUUUCAUUUGCCUGUGGUCCAGUUUAAAAGCAUGUGAUAACUUCAGAUAUCCUUAAUAGUUGAAGAUUUAGACAGAAGAUUGAAGAUUUUUACAUCCCUGAGAAAACUGGGACAAGAGAAUUCUCAGGUUGUGUAAUAAGUCACAGCAAGGGCAUCUAAUCAUCUCUAGAACGUGACAACAUUUGGUUCAGAUUCCCUUAUCAGCAUCACCUUUCCUUCUGCCUCUGCUUCAUCCUUAAAGAAGACCAGGCGGUGGGCCUUGGAGAUCAGUCACACGUCGACCGCUUCUUCAAACACUUCACGUGGGAAACCGUUCAGAGGCAUGAUUGCUGAGCUGCAGACCUGGAAAAUAACUGUCAUCAAGACCUUUACAUUUGUCAAAGGAAUUUCAGCCCACUGACACUGCUUUGCCCCUACUUUUUUUUUUUUUUAUUAUUUUUUUAUUUUUUAACUUUAGCAAGACCUUGGAAUUUUAUGACUUAAAUUUGCUACUGUGGUGCAUUAUUCUGGGAGGAGUUCUAUUUCACACAAAUGUUUUAGCCAAGAAUUUGUUACACACCUUUAAAAUGAAAAAGAUCAUUAUUAUAUUGUGUGUGGUAAUUAAGACGAAGCCGUCUGCUUUAUUUCCUUUGUUCCUGUUGAUUUAUGGAAAAACCCAUCCUCCUCUCCAGCACAGCUGCAUGCCAACCAAGGAUGGUACAAAUCUGAAAACAGCCUGGAACUGAAGUAGGAACUGAGUUUGGCAGGACUGCAGGCUGCCUUGUACUGACAAGUUCUGCUAAAUAAUAACACUCAGGUACAUUAUUAAAAGUUUUGUUGAAGAAUCAUGACCUGAUCAUGGCUAGAUGUGGCCCACUGCAGAAAUUCUAAAUCCUGCAGCAUGUAUCUGCAUUAAAAGAUACAGAACCUGUAUUAUACCGACCGCUAUUGUGUCUCUUCUUUCUAAACCUUGCAAGGGGCCAACUGAAUUCCUAUCUGAGUGUUUUCACAUGCAAUGUAGUUAAAAUGUAAUGCCAUUUAGAGCUUUACAGAAUACUGUUUUAGUCAUUUGGGAAUUUGUGUGCAGGAAUUUUUAGUUCUAAACUGUGCAUGUGCAUAAGCAUGUUUUGUGAAUCUUACAUAAAUAGUUUAAAAGCCCCUUUUUGAGAGUUGUGUGUAUAUAAUCUAGAACUGAUGGAAAAUGCAAAUUACAUGUUAUGAAUACGUGUAAAUGAAUCAAUGUUAGCUUACUGCUACCGUUGUAUAUGGGAGUUAGAAAGCAUUUUGUGCUUUUAUAAAAUUUGCAUUUAAAUUAUGUUGAACUUUAUCAUAAAAUAAUCUGUUUUGUUUUGUUUUGUUUUAGUUGAAUACAAAAUCACAUCCAAAUACAGAAACUGAUGUGUUUUCAAACACGUUAUCUGGCCUCUUCUUCCCUCUGCAAGUAACAGCAACCUUAAAAAGACAUGUUGACUUCUACGAGGCUCUGUCCUUUUCUCUGUAAAAUGCAAGGUAGAAUGUUUAACAAGCAAAACCAAAAACAUAAAACUUAAACUGAGGUUCAGCUUUGACCUUAUAUUGUCCCCACUAAAUUAACCUUUGUAUCACCUAAUGAGCAACACUUUGAACUCGCAGAGCUCCCUUCUCCUGGACAUCACACAUAACUGGAAAUAAUUAUCCACCAGCAAGAAAGGCAACUAUUUAACAUGGCUCUUAGCCUAAUUUAUAUAUAAUUUCCCUGGCACAUUAAGUGUUGCUGUGGUAUUUUUGCCACCAUUUAGACCGGAACAGUAACCAGGGUCAUCUGGAGAGGAGCAAUUCCAUCAGCCAUACUGUGCAGCGUCCUGGCAAGAGGAGUUGGCUCUGAGGGUGAUUAUAGCUCUUCAGGCAGUGAAGGCACACAGAAAAAACACCAAAUAUAUCUUUUCCCCUUCCCUUC